AGCAGCCGCGGUAAUUCCAGCUCCAAUAGCGUAUAUUAAAGUUGUUGCAGUUAAAAAGCUCGUAGUUGAAUUUCGGGGUCAGCAGGUUGGUCGUGCCUAUGGUAUGAACUGGCUUCNCUGGUCUCUCCUUUCUGAAGAACUGUAAUGCCAUUAAUUUGGUGUUGCAGGGACACAGGACUGUUACUUUGAAAAAAUUAGAGUGUUUAAAGCAGGCUAACGCUUGAAUACAUUAGCAUGGAAUAAUGAAAUAGGACGUUCGAACCUAUUUUGUUGGUUUCUAGGAUUGACGUAAUGAUUAAUAGGGAUAGUUGGGGGCAUUAGUAUUCAAUUGUCAGAGGUGAAAUUCUUGGAUUUAUUGAAGACUGACUACUGCGAAAGCAUUUGCCAAGGAUGUUUUCAUUAAUCAAGAACGAAAGUUAGGGGAUCGAAGACGACCAGAUACCGUCGUAGUCUUNNCCAANGGGCUAUGCCGACUAGGGAUCGGAUGAUGUUAAUUUUUUAAAAGGGG
rnacentral:rRNA from 1 species